rnacentral:rRNA from 1 species
CAGUAGCCACGGGAAUACGAAGGGGGCUAGCGUUGCUCGGAAUGACUGGGCGUAAAGGGCGCGUAGGCGGAUUGUUUAGUUAGGCGUGAAAUUCCUGGGCUUAACCUGGGGACUGCGCUUAAUACAGGCAGUCUAGAGUGAGGAAGAGGGUUGUGGAAUUCCCAGUGUAGAGGUGAAAUUCGUAGAUAUUGGGAAGAACACCGGUGGCGAAGGCGGCGACCUGGUCCUUUACUGACGCUGAGGCGCGAAAGCGUGGGGAGCAAACAGGAUUAGAGACCCCUGUAGUCCCUGUCUCUUAUAC